CAGGCGGUAACUGAAAGGAUACUUGCAACUGGGAACUGUCAGAUGCCUCCCUCUGCCUCCAGUGUACUAGCAACAGGGCUGACUUGUGUUUACCACACAAGGCCCUGCCUUCCCUCUAAGCUGCUGUCUGCCUUCUUGUAUCCUCUGCUCCCACUGGGGUCCUGCCCCCCCCUCCCCUCUAGAAGUCCUUCGCCCUCUGCCUGCCUGUCCUUCACCUGUAGCUUUGUGUUAGUUUGCUUUGUAGAGCUGUCUGUAGCCGCCCUGCUCCUCUUUUAUGCUUAAGGGACCCUGCGGCAGGAGCCUGGGUGAGUGGCCCCUUGUGCCAGCUAGUAGUGAUUGUACCCUUGGGGUUAGGCCCCAGGCUAGGGGCCCAGCUGAGCCAGCAGUACCUGCCCUUCCACAGGGUUACGGGGAGGAGACUGUAUACUCCUGAUGGGGACAAAAUUUCUCCCAGUAGGUAGUCCCAUGCCUCACAGUCUAGGCCCUGGCCCUGCGUCUCUGACACCAGAGCCCACAUAGGAGUUCUGUGGCUUCUGGGGCUCACCUGGCUUCCAGGUGAGGUCUGGCCCUUGCUGACUGCUGAGGACCCUGAACCAUUAACACUUAUUUUCAGCAUAUUUCCGAAUGAAAUUGCCCAGUAGAACACGUUUCUGGGUGCUUCAGAGGGUAAACACAGCUAUCUUCUUGAUUGCCUCAAGAAACAUGGCUGUGAUUAUUUUCCAUGGUAACCCCUGUGGUAGCAAGAGUCCCAUCCACCUCCAGUGUUCAGUGUGUCCUGUGCUCCAGGGGACUUUAGGACCAAGAGCAGACCCACCCCUUAAGGGCAGCACCGCCUGAGCCUUCUUCGUGGGCCCUUUCAGUCAGCCCUGCUAGGCCGACUGAUUGUGCUGUGUCUCCCGACCACAUCUUUGUGUUGCAGUUCCCAGAAAGCAGGAUUCUGCGGACCUCGCUGGUGAGAUCUUCAACUAUGAAGAAUACUGUGUCCCAAAGGCGGUCACUGGGCCUUGCCGCGCAGC
rnacentral:lncRNA from 1 species